rnacentral:rRNA from 1 species
CAGCCGCCGCGGUAAUACCAGCACCUCGAGUGGUCAGGAGGUUUAUUGGGCCUAAAGCAUCCGUAGCCGGUUGCAUAAGUUUUCGGUUAAAUCUAUGCGCUUAACGUAUAGGCCGCCGAAAAUACUGUGCAGCUAGGGAGUGGGAGAGGUACACGGUACUCGAUAGGAAGGGGUAAAAUCCUUUGAUCUAUUGAUGACCACCUGUGGCGAAGGCGGUGUACCAGAACACGUUCGACGGUGAGGGAUGAAAGCUGGGGGAGCAAACCGGAUUAGAUACCCGGGUAGUCCCUGUCUAUUAUAC